AGUGAACGCUGGCGGUAGGCCUAACACAUGCGAGUCGAACGGCAGCACAGUAAGAGCUUGCUCUUACGGGUGGCGAGUGGCGGACGGGUGAGGAAUACAUCGGAAUCUACUUUUUCGUGGGGGAUAACGUAAGGAAACUUACGCUAAUACCGCAUACGACCUACGGGUGAAAGCAGGGGAUCUUCGGACCUUGCGCGAUUGAAUGAGCCGAUGUCGGAUUAGCUAGUUGGCGGGGUAAAGGCCCACCAAGGCGACGAUCCGUAGCUGGUCUGAGAGGAUGAUCAGCCACACUGGAACUGAGACACGGUCCAGACUCCUACGGGAGGCAGCAGUGGGGAAUAUUGGACAAUGGGCGCAAGCCUGAUCCAGCCAUACCGCGUGGGUGAAGAAGGCCUUCGGGUUGUAAAGCCCUUUUGUUGGGAAAGAAAAGCAGCAGGUUAAUACCCCGCUGUUCUGACGGUACCCAAAGAAUAAGCACCGGCUAACUUCGUG
rnacentral:rRNA from 1 species